rfam:Oryza sativa (indica cultivar-group) chromosome 7, whole genome shotgun sequence.
AAAAAGACAAACCCUAGAUUUCCGUGUACAACUUUGACUAUCCGUCUUAUAUAAUUUUUUUUAUAAUUCGUAUUUUCAUUGUUGUUAGAUGAUAAAACAUGAUUAAUAUUUUAUACGUGACUUGUCUUUUUAAUUUUUUUCAUAAUUUUUUCAAAUAAAACGGACGGUCGUUGGGUACAGAAACCAGAGUUUGUCUUUUUU